rnacentral:rRNA from 1 species
ACGCUCGACACCUACGGAGCAGCAGUGGGGAAUAUUGCACAAUGGGGGAAACCCGUGAUGCAGCGACGCCGCGUGAGCGAAGAAGUAUUUCGGUAUGUAAAGCUCUAUCAGCAGGGAAGAAACUGACGGUACCUGACUAAGAAGCACCGGCUAAAUACGUGCCAGCAGCCGCGGUAAUCUGAGCGGGCUGGCAAGGC